UACGGAGGGUGCGAGCGUUGUCCGGAAUCACUGGGCGUAAAGGGCGCGUAGGCGGCCUGAUAAGUCGGGGGUGAAAUCCUGCGGCUUAACCGCAGGGCUGCAUUCUAAACUGUCAGGCUUGAGCACAGUAGAGGCAGGUGGAAUUCCCGGUGUAGCGGUGGAAUGCGUAGAGAUCGGGAAGAACACCCGUGGCGAAGGCGGCUCACUGGCCCGGUACUGACGCUGAGGCGCGAAAGCGUGGGGAGCAAACAGG
rnacentral:rRNA from 1 species